AUGUUUCCAGUGACGGGUUCGCCGAAAUGCGUUGCUUUCCGAUCAAAGCAUACCCGCAAGUACCUUGGUAGCGUGCAUGUAGGGAGCGAGGAGAGCGCCGUCGGCGGAGGCAGGUUCUUCGAGGAGCUGAGCGACGGCGCCGACGACGUCGAUGUCCUUGCAAGCCCGUACACUAGAUUCUACCUGGAGCCAUCCAAGGAGCACGACGGGCUCCUGCACGUCAGGUGCUGCCACAACAACAAGUACUGGGUGGCCAAACAUGGCGGUGAAGGCAGCGGCCACUGGAUCAUUGGCAUCGUCAAUGAACCGAACGACGACCUGUCCAAGCCGUCAUGCACGCUUUUUGAGCCCGUCCCUCUCACGGACGGGGACAAUAAUCUAUCCAUCAGAUUCUGA
rnacentral:rRNA from 1 species